rnacentral:rRNA from 1 species
GGGUGAGUAACACGUAAACAACCUGCCUUCAGGAUGGGGACAACAGACGGAAACGACUGCUAAUACCGAAUAAGUUCCAAGAGCCGCAUGGCCCAUGGAAGAAAAGGUGGCCUCUACCUGUAAGCUAUCGCCUGAAGAGGGGUUUGCGUCUGAUUAGCUGGUUGGAGGGGUAACGGCCCACCAAGGCGACGAUCAGUAGCCGGUCUGAGAGGAUGAACGGCCACACUGGAACUGAGACACGGUCCAGACUCCUACGGGAGGCAGCAGUGGGGAAUCUUCCGCAAUGGGCGAAAGCCUGACGGAGCAACGCCGCGUGAGUGAUGACGGCCUUCGGGUUGUAAAACUCUGUGAUCCGGGACGAAAAGGCAGAGUGCGAAGAACAAACUGCAUUGACGGUACCGGAAAAGCAAGCCACGGCUAACUACGUGCCAGCAGCCGCGGUAAUACGUAGGUGGCAAGCGUUGUCCGGAAUUAUUGGGCGUAAAGCGCGCGCAGGCGGCUUCCCAAGUCCCUCUUAAAAGUGCGGGGCUUAACCCCGUGAUGGGAAGGAAACUGGGAAGCUGGAGUAUCGGAGAGGAAAGUGGAAUUCCUAGUGUAGCGGUGAAAUGCGUAGAGAUUAGGAAGAACACCGGUGGCGAAGGCGACUUUCUGGACGAAAACUGACGCUGAGGCGCGAAAGCGUGGGGAGCAAACAGGAUUAGAUACCCUGGUAGUCCACGCCGUAAACGAUGGAUACUAGGUGUAGGAGGUAUCGACCCCUCCUGUGCCGGAG